rnacentral:rRNA from 1 species
UACAGAGGUCCCAAGCGUUGUUCGGAUUCACUGGGCGUAAAGGGUGCGUAGGUGGUAAGGCAAGUCAGGUGUGAAAUCUCCGGGCUCAACCCGGAAAUGGCAUUCGAAACUACCUUGCUAGAGGGUUUGAGGGGGGACUGGAAUACUUGGUGUAGCAGUGAAAUGCGUAGAUAUCAAGUGGAACACCAGUGGCGAAGGCGAGUCCCUGGAAAACUCCUGACACUGAGGCACGAAAGCUGGGGGAGCGAACAGG